AAUACUGCCCCCUCCUUUCUCCUUUCUCCUUCUCCUGAUUCCUACACUCUGCACUCUCUCUCUCUCUAGCAAAACACUCCGCACGCCCCUCUUCCCUCCUGCCGCUGCACCUCUUCCUCCUCCUCCUUUUCCUUUCUCUCCGUCGGUCUCAGCGUCACACCGUCGUCGCCUUCCAGGUACCAGUUUCGGGGUGAGAGAUUGGCUUCUAGUGAUCAUGUCUUCCUAGCGGCGGGAGGCAUCGCGAGUACGCGACGGAAGAGACGGCAGAGACUGGUGGUGAUGAGGAGGUCUGUUGGGAACCGGCAGAGGAAGGAGAGGCGGGUUUUGAUGCUGCUGCCUCUGCGCUUAUGGAGAGUUUCUGAAUUCUCCUGCAAACUUGGUUUGGAAGAACGGAGAGUUGAGAGCUCAAUGGGUUUGCAAAAGGAGAAUGAAGAUAUUAUCCACAAUUGAAGGUGUUUUAGCUGCAAGUCAGUGGUAGACAAAAUGCAUAGGGUAGACUUUUUGGUUAGCACCUCAAUAUGUCUAGAGGUGUCCAAUUGCUGUUUAAGUUGAGAUGAGACACCAUAAGGGUAUUCGACUUGUUAGCGUCUAGGAUGUUUAUGUUAUUUUUGAGACUUCACUUGGUGUGUGUAUUCAACUUAUAUGAUUAAAUUCUUGAUUAAUGAAAAUGUGAUUAACUAAAGUAUUACAUUA